rnacentral:lncRNA from 1 species
ACUCCUGCAUAUCAUGGGCCACAUGUUCGUAACGCUCAAGACACAACCCAAGUACAGGCAGAUAGCAAUAUUAAGUUUAUGUUCUUACUUGUUGGUUUUCUUGUGCUCAUUUAUUUGUUGGGUUAACGAAUGGGCUCUGUCCAUGCCUGAUGCUAACUGGGGCUGUCAGAUUUUAUGCAUGUGGAUAUGUCAAUUUAGCACUCUCUAUGAAGUUUCUACUCAAAUACAACUUUGGUGAUAUGUAGAUGCCGAGCACUUGUUAAUUUCAAGUAACCAGUUUAUCUUUCUGUGAAAACUCGGUCCAUACCUGAUACUAACUGUGGCUAUCAGAUUUUGUGCAUGUGGAUAUGUCAAUUUAGCACUCUAUGAAGUUUCUACUCAAAUACAACUUUGGUGAUAUGUAGAUGCUGAGCACUUUGUUAAUUUCAAGUAACCAAUUUGUCUUUCUGUGAUGUGUAUAUUUUGAAUUCGCAAGGUGCUUCUAGCAAUGUUUUUCCCCUCCCCCUUGUAAGAGUACCGAUGAGACACGCUUAUGUUGGCAGUUGAUGAUAUUCAGUUAUGUGCUUAUUAGUUAGCUGGUUUUCUUCUUUUGUGUUUGAAGUUUGGCCUGGUCAUGCUUAGCUAGCCAAGCAUAGCUACCUUUAGUUAACAUUGGAAUUCUGCAUUAUUAGUCGAAGAUCAUUCUCCAAUCCCACUUUACCCAAAAGAAAAAAGAGGAUUUAUAGUGCAUUAGUGGAAUAGACGGUGUGGCUUCUUGUGUUUUGCUUUGAGUUUGAUUGUAGUCGCAUUGUCUUUGAAAGAUGAUAAAAUGCCUUUGUAGUGAGCUGCUGCUUCUUUAAUAAUGGUGGCCUCCUAUCUGAAGGUACCACCUUCAGUCUAAUUUGGUUAUGGAAGUCGG